AUUGAACGCUGGCGGCAUGCCUAACACAUGCAAGUCGAACGAGUGGCGGACGGGUGAGUAAUGUCUGGGAAACUGCCUGAUGGAGGGGGAUAACUACUGGAAACGGUAGCUAAUACCGCAUACCAUCAGAUGUGCCCAGAUGGGAUUAGCUAGUAGGUGGGGUAACGGCUCACCUAGGCGACGAUCCCUAGCUGGGCUAAGAGGAUGACCAGACACACUGGAACUGAGACACGGCCCAGACUCCUACGGGAGGCAGCAGUGGGGAAUAUGGCACAAUGGGCGCAAGCCUGACGCAGCAAUGCCGCGUGUGUGAAGAAGGCCUUCGGGUUGUAAAGCACUUUCAGCGGGGAGGCGUUACCCGAAGAAGAAGCACCGGCUAACUCCGUGCCAGCAGCCGCGGUAAUAC
rnacentral:rRNA from 1 species